rnacentral:rRNA from 1 species
CCUACGGGCGGCAGCAGUGGGGGAUAUUGCACAAUGGGGGAAACCCUGAUGCAGCGACGCCGCGUGUGGGAAGACGGUCCUCUGGAUUGUAAACCACUGUCCCCAGGGACGAAGAUGACGGUACCUGGGGAGGAAGCUCCGGCGAACUACGUGCCAGCAGCCGCGGUACUACGUAGGGAGCGAGCGUUGUCCGGAAUUACUGGGUGUAAAGGGAGCGUAGGCGGGACUGCAAGUUGGGUGUCAAAUCUACCGGCUCAACCGGUAGCCGCACUCAACACUGCAGUUCUUGAGUGAAGUAGAGGCAGGCGGAAUUCCUAGUGUAGCGGUGAAAUGCGUAGAUAUUAGGAGGAACACCAGUGGCGAAGGCGGCCUGCUGGGCUUUUACUGACGCUGAGGCUCGAAAGUGUGGGGAGCAAACAAGAUUAGAUACCCUUGUAGUC